rnacentral:rRNA from 1 species
AUUGAACGCUGGCGGCAGGCCUAACACAUGCAAGUCGAACGAGUGGCGGACGGGUGAGUAAUGUCUGGGAAACUGCCUGAUGGAGGGGGAUAACUACUGGAACCGUUAGCUAAUACCGCAUACCAUCGGAUGUGCCCAGAUGGGAUUAGCUCGUAGGUGGGGGAAAGGCUCACCUAGGCGACGAUCCCUAUCUGUGCUGAGAGGAGGACCAUCAACACUGGAACGGAGAAACGGUCCAGACUCCUACGGGAGGCAGCAGUGGGGAAUAUUGCACAAGGGGCGCAAGCCGGAUGCAGACAUGCCGCGUGUAUGAGGAAGGCCUUCGGGUUGUAAAGUACUUUCAGCGGGGAGGCGUUACCCGCAGAAGAAGCACCGGCUAACUCCGUGCCAGCAGCCGCGGUAAUUC